AGGAAUACCCAGAUUUAAAGAGGAGUCUGUAAUUUGCUUUCUAAUGAUCAUGAUCUUUUCCUCAAAGAAGUUCAUAAAUGUAUUACUGCUGAAGUAAAAGCCAUCCUCCAUUUGCGAAGGCUGCUUUUUAGUUAGCUUUGCGACAGUAUCAAAAAGAAAUUUCGGAUUGUUCUUAUUUUCCUCAAAUAAGUUGGAAAAAUAGGAUGAUCGAGCAGCAGUAAGGGCUCUUCGAUACUGCACGGUACUGUCUUUCCAAGCUAGUCGGAAGACUUCCAGUUUGGUGUGGCGCCAUUUCCGUUCCAAUUUUCUGGAAGCUUGCUUCAGAGCUCGUGUAUUUUCUGUAUACCAGGGAGCUAGUUUCUUAUGACAGAUGUUUUUAGUUUUUAGGGGUGCAACUGCAUCUAGCCUAGUGGUUAGAGGGGGGAGGCGGGGUGCCUAGUUGUUAGAGGAGGCAGGUAGCCUAGUUGUUAGGGGUGGCAGGGUAGCCUGGUGGUUAGGGGAGGAGGGGUAGUCUAGUGGUUAGGGGAGGUGGGGUAGCCUAGUGGUUAGAGGGGGGAGGCGGGGUAGCCUAGUGGUUAGGGGAGGCAGGUAGCCUAGUGGUUAGAGGGGGGAGGCGGGGUAGCCUAGUGGUUAGGGGAGGUGGGGUAGCCUAGUGGUUAGAGGGGGAGGCGGGGUAGCCUAGUUGUUAGAGGAGGCAGGUAGCCUAGUGGUUAGGGGUGGCAGGGUAGCCUAGUGGUUAGGGGAGGAGGGGUAGUCUAGUGGUUAGGGGAGGUGGGGUAGCCUAGUGGUUAGGGGAGGUGGGGUAGCCUAGUGGUUAGGGGAGGCGGGGUAGCCUAGUGGUUAGGGGAGGCGGGGUAGCCUAGUGGUUAGGGGAGGCGGGGUAGCCUAGUGGUUAGGGGAGGUGGGUAGCCUAGUGGUUAGGGGUGGCGGGGUAGCCUAGUGGUUAGGGGAGGAGGGGUAGCCUAGUGGUUAGAGGAGGAGGGGUAGCCUAGUGGUUAGAGGAGGUGGGUAGCCUAGUGGUUAGGGGAGGAGGGGUAGUCUAGUGGUUAGGGGAGGUGGGGUAGCCUAGUGGUUAGAGGGGGAGGCGGGGUAGCCUAGUGGUUAGGGGUGGCAGGGUAGCCUAGUGGUUAGGGGAGGAGGGGUAGUCUAGUGGUUAGGGGAGGUGGGGUAGCCUAGUGGUUAGAGGGGGGAGGCAGUUAGACUAGUGGUUAGAGGAAGCGGGGUAGCCUAGUGGUUAGGGGAGGCGGGGUAGCCUAGUGGUUAGGGGAGGCGGGGUAGCCUAGUGGUUAGGGGAGGUGGGGUAGCCUAGUGCUUAGGGGUGGCGGGGUAGCCUAGUGGUUAGGGGAGGUGGUGUAGCCUAGUGGUUAGGGGAGGUGGGGUAGCCUAGUGGUUAGGGGAGGCGGGGUAGCCUAGUGGUUAGGGGAGGCGGGGUAGCCUAGUGGUUAGGGGAGGUGGGGUAGCCUAGUGGUUAGGGGAGGUGGGUAGCCUAGUGGUUAGGGGUGGCGGGGUAGCCUAGUGGUUAGUGGAGGUGGGUAGCCUAGUGGUUAGGGGUGGCGGGGUAGCCUAGUGGUUAGGGGUGGCGGGGUAGCCUAGUGGUUAGAGGGGGGAGGCAGGUAGCCUAGUGGUUAGAGGGGGGAGGCAGGUAGCCUAGUGGUUAGAGGGGGAGGCAGGGUAGCCUAGUGGUUAGGGGCGGCGGGGUAAAAGCGUUGGACUAGUAACCGAUAGGUUGCUCGAUGGAAUCCCCGAGCUGACAAGGUAAAAAUCUGUCGUUCUGCUCCUGAACAAGGCAGUUAACCCACUGUUGCCCCCGUAGGCCGUCAUUGAAAAUAAGAAUUUGUUCUUAACUGACUUGCCUAGUAAAAUAAUUAUUUUUAAAUAAAUGUGUAUGCAGAAAUAAAAAGCACUGGGGAGCAGCAUUAUAACAUGUGCCAGCCAUCCAGUCCUUUAGUAUGUCUUAGCUCCAGUAUUCUCCAGUUUUAGGAUUAGCAUAUCAGUCUCCUUUUUCUUCAUGCGUUGAUGUGAGGUCUUCCUAGCUACAGAUCAGGAAGUAUUACAGUCUGGGACGGUAUUGUUAUCAUUGCCAAAUGCCUUGGGGAAGCUCUCUCUCUCUCUGUACUCCUGAACCCUGUACAUGACACCUGUGAUCAUUAUUACAACUUAAACCCUGUGAAUCACACAGAAAUGAUAACUCCAGUCAUACGGUAAUGCUGAUGACUCCGAUAUCCCCUUUAGAUGAAGACACACGGAUACACGCUACACACACACACACACACAGGAGAUGAACUCCCGGGGACCUCUCUCUGAUGAUGAAGGGAUGAUUCAACCAUCCCAGCAGCUCUCUCUUCACUUCACCGCUGCACACACACACUGCACACACACACACACACACCGCACACAUAUUGCACAGACACACACACUGCACACACGUUGCACACACACACACACUGCACACACAUUGCACACACACACACACACACACACACUGCAUACACACACACCACACACACUGCACACACAUACACACACACACACACACACACACUUCACAGACACACACACUACAUACAAACUACCUACACACACACUUCACACUACACACAACACUACACACAACACACU
rnacentral:lncRNA from 1 species